CCUACGGGUGGCAGCAGUGGGGGAUAUUGGACAAUGGGGGAAACCCUGAUCCAGCGACGCCGCGUGAGUGAAGAAGUAUUUCGGUAUGUAAAGCUCUAUCAGCAGGGAAGAAAGAAAUGACGGUACCUGAGUAAGAAGCACCGGCUAACUACGUGCCAGCAGCCGCGGUAAUACGUAGGGGGCAAGCGGUAUCCGGAAUUACUGGGGGUAAAGGGGGCGUAGACGGGAAUGACAGGCUGGAGGGAAAGGCGGGGGCCACCCCCCCGGACUGCUCUGGAAACUGUGUAACUGGAGUGCAGGAGAGGCAGGCGGAAUUCCUAGUGUAGCGGUGAAAUGCGUAGAUAUUAGGAGGAACACCAGUGGCGAAGGCGGCCUGCUGGACUGUAACUGACGUUGAGGCUCGAAAGCGUGGGGAGCAAACAGGAUUAGAUACCCUUGUAGUC
rnacentral:rRNA from 1 species